rnacentral:lncRNA from 1 species
GGCCCGUGCAGAGGCCGCUCCUGGGCGGCCUCUCCACAACUCGGGAGACCCUGGCGGCCUGGCGUGGGUUUGUGCGAGCAAGAGGAGGAGAGACAAAGUAACCGGGCUCUUCAGCCCGCCGUAGCCGCCUGAUCACAUUGUGGUUUUGGAACUGGCAACUUUGUGUUAGCUUUUGCAGUCGCUCAGGGAUGCAGAAAGAUAGCAGAAGUAGGCGACUGGGGUGGAGCGAGGCCAGCCGCCCUCCUGCCCAAGAUCCCUUCCCAGCGGGGGGCCCCUUGGUGACGCAGAACGCGGCCGAGGGUCAGCUCCUGCAUGUACGGUCUGGGUGUGAGCGAAAGUGUGGAGUCCACCUCUGUGCCCCACACCCCACCCACCCGCAGAGCUUUAAGUGAACGAAUGUCUUGGUUGUUGCCCCCCCCCUCGAACCCAGAGCCUUUGCACUGAGCUACAUACAUCUCCAGCCCUCUUGUUUUUGAUUUUUUUAAAAAAAAAAUUUGAGACAGAUCUCACUAAGUCUCUAAAUUGUCCAGGUUGGAGUUGGACUUUAAAUCCUCCUGCCUCAGCUUCCCCGAGUGCUGAGAUUACAGGCAGAUGCUGCUGGUGGUGGAGGUGGGGGUUCAGUUACUGUUAAUUGGUUGGCUUUAAUCUGUUCACCAGUGUGAGAAAAGGCAGUGCGGUGAGGGCAGAGGAGGAAGUUUAAAUAGAGGGGACCAUUUGACAAGGGAACUGCCCUUCACAGGCAUGGGAGGGUCUCCGAGCAUCCCAUCCUCCUUUAGUCUUCCCGGCUCUGCUGCUUUCGGCGGGAAAGCUGCCCUCUGGCCCUUGUUGGCCCCCAGGGGCCACUUUCUUGGGCCCAAAGCCCAAGGAUGUUUGAGAGACACCCAUCCUUGUUGCUCUUUCUGAGCCAGCACCUGCUGCCCCAACUCCCUGGACUCAGUUGCCCUCCCUUGUCCUCUCCCUCCCAUCUGUUCGAAGUGCUUUCCACAUCUGGGCAGGCCGGGCCAACCCCCUCACCGCCAGGUGGCUUACGGAGGACAGGAUUUGCUCCACACAGCUCUGGAGGCCGGAAGCUGAGGUUAAGGCCUGGUUCAGGUCUCUCGCUCGCUCCUGAGUCCACUUUGCUCGCUCUUCUCAGCUGCGGGUCUGACUGCAGACUCCUCAGGUGCUGGAGCCCCAUCCCUGGCCACAGCUCCGCCCGCUCCUGCUGUCACCCGCUCGUCCCCACCGCCUGCACAUCAUAG